rnacentral:rRNA from 1 species
CGUGGCGGACGGGUGAGUAACGCGUGGGGUAACCUGCCAUAUACAGGGGGAUAACACUUAGAAAUAGGUGCUAAUACCGCAUAAGCGCACAGGGGCGCAUGCCCCGGUGUGAAAAACUCCGGUGGUAUAUGAUGGACCCGCGUCUGAUUAGCCAGUUGGCAGGGUAACGGCCUACCAAAGCGACGAUCAGUAGCCGGCCUGAGAGGGCGGACGGCCACAUUGGGACUGAGACACGGCCCAAACUCCUACGGGAGGCAGCAG